rnacentral:rRNA from 1 species
GGGGGUUGCCUUAGAUACGGCGAGUGAAGCGGCAAAAGCUCAAAUUUGAAAUCUGGUACCUUCGGUGCCCGAGUUGUAAUUUGGAGAGGGCAACUUUGGGGCCGUUCCUUGUCUAUGUUCCUUGGAACAGGACGUCAUAGAGGGUGAGAAUCCCGUGUGGCGAGGAGUGCGGUUCUUUGUAAAGUGCCUUCGAAGAGUCGAGUUGUUUGGGAAUGCAGCUCUAAGUGGGUGGUAAAUUCCAUCUAAAGCUAAAUAUUGGCGAGAGACCGAUAGCGAACAAGUACAGUGAUGGAAAGAUGAAAAGAACUUUGAAAAGAGAGUGAAAAAGUACGUGAAAUUGUUGAAAGGGAAGGGCAUUUGAUCAGACAUGGUGUUUUGUGCCCUCUGCUCCUUGUGGGUAGGGGAAUCUCGCAUUUCACUGGGCCAGCAUCAGUUUUGGUGGCAGGAUAAAUCCAUAGGAAUGUAGCUUGCCUCGGUAAGUAUUAUAGCCUGUGGGAAUACUGCCAGCUGGGACUGAGGACUGCGACGUAAGUCAAGGAUGCUGGCAUAAUGGUUAUAUGCCGCCCGUCUUGAAACACGGACCAAA